GUGAAGAUACCUGAAGAAUAGAGUUGAAAAGCAUAACCAGCAGCGUCAACUGCAACAGAGACAGGUUGGUGUGCAACUGCAGCUUGGAGACUUUUCUCACUAUUGGCAGCCUUCAUUCCCGGUUUUCACAUCGCAGUCCACAAGCUCUUGUUCUGAUAGUGACACCAAUUUUCCAGUUUUGAUUUGGUUAAUGCCUUCCACAGCUGCUACCGCAGAGAAUGCCCAACAACUUCCUGUGUAUUGAAAGUGUAAUAGUAUCAGAAGUUGCUACUUAAUCUGCAAUAUUUCCUUUUCAGCAAGCAGAACAAUAAGGACAUGUGUUCAUACUCCUCAUAUUGUGUACCAAACCAAUAUUCGGUCCAAAACAACAAAAGUUGUCCCAAGGAGAUUCAUGUACAAGUGGAGUUAACAAGUGAUUAAGCUAAGGUUCAUGCAAAAGCUGUGAUCAUGCUAAAUCUCCCAACACGUAAGGAAUUGAGUGACGACAUGAUAUUUGAAUGAGAACUUGUUGUGGUUUGUUUUCUAUCUGAAGUGUAGGUAAUAUAAAUUAUUUUCCAAGUAAUAUACAACAAAGUAAUUACACCCUAAUUGUGAUUGUGUUCUUUGAGAUUGUGUGCCAGUCUGUCAGAGGUUGAUGAAUGGGCAUGAAGUGUUAUGCAAA